GACGAACGCUGGCGGCGUGCUUAACACAUGCAAGUCGAACGGAAAGGCCCUUCGGGGUACUCGAGUGGCGAACGGGUGAGUAACACGUGGGUGAUCUGCCCUGCACUUUGGGAUAAGCCUGGGAAACUGGGUCUAAUACCGAAUAGGACCACGCGCUUCAUGGUGUGUGGUGGAAAGCUUUUGCGGUGUGGGAUGGGCCCGCGGCCUAUCAGCUUGUUGGUGGGGUAAUGGCCUACCAAGGCGACGACGGGUAGCCGGCCUGAGAGGGUGACCGGCCACACUGGGACUGAGAUACGGCCCAGACUCCUACGGGAGGCAGCAGUGGGGAAUAUUGCACAAUGGGCGCAAGCCUGAUGCAGCGACGCCGCGUGAGGGAUGACGGCCUUCGGGUUGUAAACCUCUUUCAAUAGGGACGAAGCGCAAGUGACGGUACCUUUAGAAGAAGCACCGGCCAACUACGUG
rnacentral:rRNA from 1 species